rnacentral:lncRNA from 1 species
UGUACUGGAUAACACAGGAUUUGUCUCAGCAAGACCUUUCCUCUACAGCCCUAAUGAGCACAAAACUAAUUGGGUACAUCUGCAGCCAUACUUAGGAACAUUCAAGACUACCUGGCACUAUCACCCUUUUUGCACUGUUAUGGUAUCAGUACCUUGGUAAUGGACUACUCAGCAUUUCUCACAGUCCUCAGGACCACAGAGGAAAUGAUGAUGUGGGAAAAGAAAACACAGAAUGUGGAGUCUGCUGAGGUCUAAUUCAGUGUUUCCAUCCAUCCAUCCAUCCAUCCAUCCAUCCAUCCAUCCAUCCAUCCAUCCAUCCACGUAU